rnacentral:rRNA from 1 species
CCUACGGGCGGCAGCAGUGAGGAAUAUUGGUCAAUGGUCGGGAGACUGAACCAGCCAAGUCGCGUGAGGGAUGACGGCACUAUGGAUCGUAAACCUCUUUUGUCAGGGAACAAAGGGCGGGACGUGUGCGCGUAUGAGUGUACCCGGAGAAAAAGCAUCGGCUAACUCCGUGCCAGCAGCCGCGGUAAUACGGAGGAUGCGAGCGUUAUCCGGAUUUAUUGGGUUUAAAGGGUGCGUAGGCGGACGGUUAAGUCAGCGGUAAAAGCGCGGGGCUCAACCCCGGCGAGCCGUUGAAACUGGGAGUCUCGAGUUGGAGAGAAGUAUGCGGAAUGCGUGGUGUAGCGGUGAAAUGCAUAGAUAUCGCGCAGAACUCCGAUUGCGAAGGCAGCAUGCCGGCGCCAAACUGACGCUGAAGCACGAAAGCGUGGGUAUCGAACAGGAUUAGAUACCCGUGUAGUC